rnacentral:rRNA from 1 species
CAACAAGCUUGCUUGUUGGGGUUGUAGGACACUCUAUACGGAGUUACAAAGGACGACAUUAGACGAAUCAUCUGGAAAGAUGAAUCAAAGAAGGUAAUAAUCCUGUAGUCGAAAAUGUUGUCUCUCUUGAGUGGAUCCUGAGUACGACGGAGCACGUGAAAUUCCGUCGGAAUCUGGGAGGACCAUCUCCUAAGGCUAAAUACUCUCUAGUGACCGAUAGUGAACCAGUACCGUGAGGGAAAGGUGAAAAGCACCCCGGAAGGGGAGUGAAAUAGAACCUGAAACCGUGUGCUUACAAGUAGUCAGAGCCCGUUAAUGGGUGAUGGCGUGCCUUUUGUAGAAUGAACCGGCGAGUUACGAUUUGAUGCAAGGUUAAGCAGUAAAUGUGGAGCCGUAGCGAAAGCGAGUCUGAAUAGGGCGUUUAGUAUUUGGUCGUAGACCCGAAACCAGGUGAUCUACCCUUGGUCAGGUUGAAGUUCAGGUAACACUGAAUGGAGGACCGAACCGACUUACGUUGAAAAGUGAGCGGAUGAACUGAGGGUAGCGGAGAAAUUCCAAUCGAACCUGGAGAUAGCUGGUUCUCUCCGAAAUAGCUUUAGGGCUAGCCUCAAGUGAUGAUUAUUGGAGGUAGAGCACUGUUUGGACGAGGGGCCCCUCUCGGGUUACCGAAUUCAGACAAACUCCGAAUGCCAAUUAAUUUAACUUGGGAGUCAGAACAUGGGUGAUAAGGUCCGUGUUCGAAAGGGAAACAGCCCAGACCACCAGCUAAGGUCCCAAAAUAUAUGUUAAGUGGAAAAGGAUGUGGCGUUGCCCAGACAACUAGGAUGUUGGCUUAGAAGCAGCCAUCAUUUAAAGAGUGCGUAAUAGCUCACUAGUCGAGUGACACUGCGCCGAAAAUGUACCGGGGCUAAACAUAUUACCGAAGCUGUGGAUUGUCCUUUGGACAAUGGUAGGAGAGCGUUCUAAGGGCGUUGAAGCAUGAUCGUAAGGACAUGUGGAGCGCUUAGAAGUGAGAAUGCCGGUGUGAGUAGCGAAAGACGGGUGAGAAUCCCGUCCACCGAUUGACUAAGGUUUCCAGAGGAAGGCUCGUCCGCUCUGGGUUAGUCGGGUCCUAAGCUGAGGCCGACAGGCGUAGGCGAUGGAUAACAGGUUGAUAUUCCUGUACCACCUAUAAUCGUUUUAAUCGAUGGGGGGACGCAGUAGGAUAGGCGAAGCGUGCGAUUGGAUUGCACGUCUAAGCAGUAAGGCUGAGUAUUAGGCAAAUCCGGUACUCGUUAAGGCUGAGCUGUGAUGGGGAGAAGACAUUGUGUCUUCGAGUCGUUGAUUUCACACUGCCGAGAAAAGCCUCUAGAUAGAAAAUAGGUGCCCGUACCGCAAACCGACACAGGUAGUCAAGAUGAGAAUUCUAAGGUGAGCGAGCGAACUCUCGUUAAGGAACUCGGCAAAAUGACCCCGUAACUUCGGGAGAAGGGGUGCUCUUUAGGGUUAACGCCCAGAAGAGCCGCAGUGAAUAGGCCCAAGCGACUGUUUAUCAAAAACACAGGUCUCUGCUAAACCGUAAGGUGAUGUAUAGGGGCUGACGCCUGCCCGGUGCUGGAAGGUUAAGAGGAGUGGUUAGCUUCUGCGAAGCUACGAAUCGAAGCCCCAGUAAACGGCGGCCGUAACUAUAACGGUCCUAAGGUAGCGAAAUUCCUUGUCGGGUAAGUUCCGACCCGCACGAAAGGCGUAACGAUUUGGGCACUGUCUCAACGAGAGACUCGGUGAAAUCAUAGUACCUGUGAAGAUGCAGGUUACCCGCGACAGGACGGAAAGACCCCGUGGAGCUUUACUGUAGCCUGAUAUUGAAAUUCGGCACAGCUUGUACAGGAUAGGUAGGAGCCUUUGAAACGUGAGCGCUAGCUUACGUGGAGGCGCUGGUGGGAUACUACCCUAGCUGUGUUGGCUUUCUAACCCGCACCACUUAUCGUGGUGGGAGACAGUGUCAGGCGGGCAGUUUGACUGGGGCGGUCGCCUCCUAAAAGGUAACGGAGGCGCUCAAAGGUUCCCUCAGAAUGGUUGGAAAUCAUUCAUAGAGUGUAAAGGCAUAAGGGAGCUUGACUGCGAGACCUACAAGUCGAGCAGGGUCGAAAGACGGACUUAGUGAUCCGGUGGUUCCGCAUGGAAGGGCCAUCGCUCAACGGAUAAAAGCUACCCCGGGGAUAACAGGCUUAUCUCCCCCAAGAGUUCACAUCGACGGGGAGGUUUGGCACCUCGAUGUCGGCUCAUCGCAUCCUGGGGCUGUAGUCGGUCCCAAGGGUUGGGCUGUUCGCCCAUUAAAGCGGUACGCGAGCUGGGUUCAGAACGUCGUGAGACAGUUCGGUCCCUAUCCGUCGUGGGCGUAGGAAAUUUGAGAGGAGCUGUCCUUAGUACGAGAGGACCGGGAUGGACAUACCUCUGGUGUACCAGUUGUCGUGCCAACGGCAUAGCUGGGUAGCUAUGUGUGGACGGGAUAAGUGCUGAAAGCAUCUAAGCAUGAAGCCCCCCUCAAGAUGAGAUUUCCCAACUUCGGUUAUAAGAUCCCUCAAAGAUGAUGAGGUUAAUAGGUUCGAGGUGGAAGCAUGGUGACAUGUGGAGCUGACGAAUACUAAUCGAUCGAAGACUUAAUCAA